rnacentral:rRNA from 1 species
GUCGCGUGUGUGAAGACGGCCUUAGGGUUGUAAAACACUUUCAAUAAUGUUGGAAGAGGCUUUUUUUUUAAAAAAAAAAUAACUUUGACAAAAUAUUAUAAAAGAAGCACCGGCUAACUUCGUGCCAGCAGCCGCGGUAAUACGAGGGGUGCUAGCGUUAAUCGGAAUUACUGGGCGUAAAGGGUGUGUAGGUUGUGACAAUAUGUUGUUUAUUAAAUUUAUUAAUAAAAUUAAUAAGAUAAACAAAACUUUAUCACUAGAGUAUAAAAGAAGAAAAUAGAAUUCCAAGAGUAGCAGUGAAAUGCUUAGAUAUUUGGAGGAAUACUAGUGGCGAAGGCGUUUUUCUAUUUUAAUACUGACACUGAUGCACGAAAGCGUGGGGAGCAAACAGGAUUAGAUACCCUGGUAGUCCACGCAGUAAACGUUGUCAACUAUUUAUUAAAUAACAUAAUUUUUAUAAUAAUUUUAAAGUUUUAUAAAUUAUGUAUUUUUAGUGAAAAAGCUAACGCGUUAAGUUGACCGCCUGGGGAUUACGACCGCAAG